AUGAACGCUAGCUACAGGCUUAACACAUGCAAGUCGAGGGGCAGCAUGGUCUUAGCUUGCUAAGGCCGAUGGCGACCGGCGCACGGGUGAGUAACACGUAUCCAACCUGCCGUCUACUCUUGGACAGCCUUCUGAAAGGAAGAUUAAUACAAGAUGGCAUCAUGAGUCCGCAUGUUCACAUGAUUAAAGGUAUUCCGGUAGACGAUGGGGAUGCGUUCCAUUAGAUAGUAGGCGGGGUAACGGCCCACCUAGUCUUCGAUGGAUAGGGGUUCUGAGAGGAAGGUCCCCCACAUUGGAACUGAGACACGGUCCAAACUCCUACGGGAGGCAGCAGUGAGGAAUAUUGGUCAAUGGGCGAGAGCCUGAACCAGCCAAGUAGCGUGAAGGAUGACUGCCCUAUGGGUUGUAAACUUCUUUUAUAAAGGAAUAAAGUCGGGUAUGGAUACCCGUUUGCAUGUACUUUAUGAAUAAGGAUCGGCUAACUCCGUGCCAGCAGCCGCGGUAAUACGGAGGAUCCGAGCGUUAUCCGGAUUUAUUGGGUUUAAAGGGAGCGUAGAUGGAUGUUUAAGUCAGUUGUGAAAGUUUGCGGCUCAACCGUAAAAUUGCAGUUGAUACUGGAUAUCUUGAGUGCAGUUGAGGCAGGCGGAAUUCGUGGUGUAGCGGUGAAAUGCUUAGAUAUCACGAAGAACUCCGAUUGCGAAGGCAGCCUGCUAAGCUGCAACUGACAUUGAGGCUCGAAAGUGUGGGUAUCAAACAGGAUUAGAUACCCUGGUAGUCCACACGGUAAACGAUGAAUACUCGCUGUUUGCGAUAUACUGCAAGCGGCCAAGCGAAAGCGUUAAGUAUUCCACCUGGGGAGUACGCCGGCAACGGUGAAACUCAAAGGAAUUGACGGGGGCCCGCACAAGCGGAGGAACAUGUGGUUUAAUUCGAUGAUACGCGAGGAACCUUACCCGGGCUUAAAUUGCAGAUGAAUUACGGUGAAAGCCGUAAGCCGCAAGGCAUCUGUGAAGGUGCUGCAUGGUUGUCGUCAGCUCGUGCCGUGAGGUGUCGGCUUAAGUGCCAUAACGAGCGCAACCCUUGUUGUCAGUUACUAACAGGUUCCGCUGAGGACUCUGACAAGACUGCCAUCGUAAGAUGUGAGGAAGGUGGGGAUGGCGUCAAAUCAGCACGGCCCUUACGUCCGGGGCUACACACGUGUUACAAUGGGGGGUACAGAGGGCCGCUACCACGCGAGUGGAUGCCAAUCCCCAAAACCUCUCUCAGUUCGGACUGGAGUCUGCAACCCGACUCCACGAAGCUGGAUUCGCUAGUAAUCGCGCAUCAGCCACGGCGCGGUGAAUACGUUCCCGGGCCUUGUACACACCGCCCGUCAAGCCAUGGGAGCCGGGGGUACCUGAAGUGCGUAACCGCGAGGAGCGCCCUAGGGUAAAACUGGUGACUGGGGCU
rnacentral:rRNA from 1 species